rnacentral:rRNA from 1 species
UACGUAGGGUCCGAGCGUUGUCCGGAUUUAUUGGGCGUAAAGAGCUCGUAGGCGGCUCAGUAAGUCGGAUGUGAAAACUCGGGGCUCAACCCCGAGACGCCAUCCGAUACUGCUGUGGCUUGAACCUGGUAGGGGAGCACGGAAUUCCUGGUGUAGCGGUGAAAUGCGCAGAUAUCAGGAGGAACACCGGCGGCGAAGGCGGUGCUCUGGGCCAGUAUUGACGCUGAGGAGCGAAAGCGUGGGUAGCAAACAGG